AGAAUCAACGCUGGCGGCGUGCCUAACACAUGCAAGUCGAACGAGAAAGUGGAGCAAUCCAUGAGUAAAGUGGCGCACGGGUGAGUAACACGUGACUAACCUACCCUUGAGUGGGGAAUAAACCUAGGGAAACCUGGGCUAAUACCGCAUAACACCUACGGGUCAAAGGAGCAAUUCGCUUAAGGAGGGGGUCGCGGCAGAUUAGCUAGUUGGCGGGGUAAUGGCCCACCAAGGCAGUGAUCUGUA
rnacentral:rRNA from 1 species